rnacentral:rRNA from 1 species
UAAGAAGGUCCGGCUAACUUCGUGCCAGCAGCCGCGGUAAUACGAAGGGACCUAGCGUAGUUCGGAAUUACUGGGCUUAAAGAGCACGUAGGUGGUUAGAAAAGUUGGUGGUGAAAUCCCAGAGCUUAACUCUGGAACUGCCAUCAAAACUUUUUGACUAGAGUAUGAUAGAGGUAAGCGGAAUUUCUAGUGUAGAGGUGAAAUUCGUAGAUAUUAGAAAGAACACCAAUUGCGAAGGCAGCUUUCUGGAUCAUUACUGACACUGAGGUGCGAAAGCAUGGGUAGCGAAGAGGAUUAGAUACCCUCGUAGUCCAUGCCGUAAACGAUGUGUGCUAGAUGUUGGAAAUUUAUUUUCAGUGUCGCAGCAAAAGCGUUAAGCACACCGCCUGGGGAGUACGACCGCAAGGUUAAAACUCAAAUGAAUUGACGGGGACCCGCACAAGCAGUGGAGCAUGUGGUUUAAUUCGAAGAUACGCGCAGAACCUUACCAACACUUGACAUGUUCGUCGCGAACCUAAGAAAUUAGGUUCUUCAUUCAGUUGGACGAAACACAGGUGCUGCAUGGCUGUCGUCAGCUCGUGUCGUGAGAUGUUGGGUUAAGUCCCGCAACGAGCGCAACCCUUACUUUUAGUUGCUACCAUUAAGUUGGGCACUCUAAAAGAACUGCCAGUGAUAAGCUGGAGGAAGGUGGGGAUGACGUCAAGUCCUCAUGGCCCUUAUGUGUUGGGCUACACACGUGCUACAAUGGUAUCUACAACAGGAAGCAAAACAGCGAUGUUAAGCAAAUCCCGAAAAGAUACCUCAGUUCGGAUUGCACUCUGCAACUCGAGUGCAUGAAGCUGGAAUUACUAGUAAUCGUGGAUCAGCGUGCCACGGUGAAUACGUUCCCGGGUCUUGUACACACCGCCCGUCACACCAUGGGAGUUGGUUCUACCUUAAGGCAAA